UAAAAAUAAAAACUCAAAUAUUCACGUCUAAAAUAAUAUUCAAGUCCACCCAAACAAGAACAAUUCACCCUAAGUAUAUUAUUUCUUUCCUAUUUCGAUAUGAGAAGCUUUUUUCCCUAUUCUUCUCAAAUUUGCCUACUUCGAUCUCGGGAAACUUUUCCCGAUUUCUUAUCAUUUUCGAUUCUGGAUUUGAAUCUCUUUGGUUUCAGAUCUGAUAUUAUAGUUACAUCAUAUUGUUUUGCUUACUUUUAUUGAUUUUCGAUCGCAUCAUUGUUUCUUCACCUUCUCGGAGAGAUUUAUUCUACGAUGAUGUGUGACUUCCUUUUGGGGUAUUUGUCGUUCAUUUCAGAAAUUUUUCAUUACUUCAAUCACGAUCGUAAAAUCUAUCCCAUUUGUAUUUCAGGGAUUCUUAAAUUCUUAUAAUUUCUCUCAGAAAAACCAAAGCGCUCUCUUGACGUCAACCGAAGUAAUGACUCUAAGAGUCGUCCCGUUCAGCCGCCACAAAUCGUCGUUGUAAGAUAUACAUAACUAGGCGUGUUCAUGAUUAUGAGUCAUUAGCUAAGAAAGCUGAUGGUUCUCAAGGUAUGGUGGUGCUCCACGAGUUUAUUCUAUGGAUGAUUAUUUUAUGAUUAAGGACAAUACCAUUUGCCUGGAACCUCAUUACAGCUGGUUACGUUGAACAAACUGUACAUGGGG